UUCCCGGGAAACACAUUCACGCAGGGCAUUAAUCUGCAGGAGAGAAUCGCUACGCUGCCCUCGCCGAAGGGUAAUCUACAUCGGCAUGCACCGUGCAGAAACAGGACCGACUCUAAGUCGCAAUUUGCACUUUCUCCUCGCAAAGCUGUACAUCGGGGGAUGUUAAAGUUCUCCGCGUGGGGGGAGCUCUCGCUUCACGUCAUAUGAAAGGGCUCUGGCUGGAUCUGGGCAGCUCAGGCAGGUGUCGAGGGGUGGGAAGCACGUUCUCUGGAAAAGCUGUGCUCCUUUAACGACGGGCUCCCGGUGUGAGGGAGAGCUGGGCUGGUCACCGUGUCUGUCCCUGUACGGGAAUCCCAGGGCUUCGGAGGAAACGUGCAUCUGCAGAGGGGCCGUGGGGAACACGCACGUUAGUAAGACCUUUCCCCCGGCCAGCGGGGGAGAAUGUAAGGUAAACAUUUGCACAAGCGAGAGAAGGCGCUGGGUCAGAUGACACAAACCAAGCGUGGCUUCAGAACCAUCCAGAGCAAGAAGCUGCACUCAGCGGGAGUCCAAGUGAUAGAAGGGACCCGGCGCUGGGUGUGUCUCACCCACGUGGCUGCCGUGGCCGGGGGGCAAGACGAUUCGUUUGGAAGCUCAACUCACAUGAUGCCACUUGGCACAGUCACUUCUCUCUUGGAGAAGCCUGCCCGGGCUGCAGACUCCUUCUACUCCAUCCCCAUGUGGCCCCUCUUCUUGAGGAAGAGGGAUGUGCAUGUGGGGGGAGCCUGCGUGCUGGGGACGGAUGCCCUCGAGCCCAAUGUGUGCGCAGACUUGUUCCCACUCAGGGACCUUCGUACCUACAUGUCUCUCUUUGCCUCACGCCCACGGCAGCUCCGGGGACUUUCGCGAUCUUGACCUCACCCUGGAAGGCCUCGAGGAGGUGAGAGGGGUCAACCCAUGUGAAGAGGGGCAGGGGUGGGAGGUAACGGGAUUGCCUGAGGCCACGUCCUGAGAGGCCCCUCCUUGCUCUUGUGUCCCCCCCAGCUCGGCCACCUCACAGCGAUGCACGGGGAUCAGAGGACACAGGGGUCAGAGGACACGGGGGUCAGAGGACACACGGGGUCAGAGGACACGGCCUUGAGCCAGGGAAUACAUUUACUGCUUAAUGACCCAUAAUUUUUAGUAAAGGAAGAACGGAACACAGCAGAAUCGAAUAGAAAGUUUGCACAUAGUAAGAGGAGGAGCCGUGUCAUCUGUGUGUUACGAGUGUGGGUGCGAGCGGUGUGUUUAGACGGGUCACCGUCACGGAGGUUUGAAAACCACUUCAUGGGGCACCUGGGUGGCUCAGUCGGUUAAGCGUCUGACUUCAGCUCAGGUCACGAUCUCACGGUCCGUGAGUUCGAGCCCCGCGUCGGGCUCUGGGCUGAUGGCUCAGAGCCUGGAGCCUGCUUCCGAUUCUGUGUCUCCCUCUGUCUCUGCCCCUCCCCCAUUCAUGCUCUGUCUCGCUCUGUCUCAAAAAUAAUAAAUAAACGUUAAAAAAAAAUAAAAAAAAAAGA
rnacentral:lncRNA from 1 species